GCAUAUAUUCGUAUAAGAGGCCUACGACACGCAGGGGAUCUCUAUAUACGUAUAGUAAAAGUAAUGCCCACCUGGAUAGGCAAAGCCUGAAGAUCAUAAUCACAUAACCUGUCUUGGGAAAGCAGUGCUAAUCCCCCUUGGUCCACAAAGCCUACAAGAAAUUCUAUUCUUAAUAGGUCUCCUUGAAUCUAAUCUUAAGUCAUGGUGUAGUCCUUAACAUUCUAUGAUUCACUUAGCCGGGUUUUUAAUGAGUAAAUAAUUAAAAACAUUUCUCUUGAGUUAAGAACACCAACAAUAUUCUUACUCAUCUUUCUUUAAUAAUUGGAAUUAUAAAUAAAACCA
rnacentral:lncRNA from 1 species